rnacentral:rRNA from 1 species
GACGAACCGUGCGAACGUUGUUCGGAUUCACUGGGCUUAAAGGGCGCGUAGGCGGGUUCCCAAGUCGGGGGUGAAAUCCCACGGCCCAACCGUGGAAGAGCUUCCGAUACUGGGAGUCUGGGGGGAGGUAGGGGCGUGUGGAACUUCCGGUGGAGCGGUGAAAUGCGUAGAUAUCGGAAGGAACGCCGGUGGCGAAAGCGACGCGCUGGACCUCUUCUGACGCUGAGGCGCGAAAGCCAGGGGAGCAAACGGG